CUUCCUCCCUAUCCCUCACCACUUCCUCCCUCCCCCUCAGUACUUCCUGCCUCUCUCACCACUCCCCCCUCCCUCUCACUACUUCCCCCCUUUCUCUGACCACUUCCUCCCUCUCUCCCUCACCCUUCCUCCUCCCUCACCACUUCCUCUCUCUCCAUCACCACUUCCUCCUUCUCUCCCUCUCACCACUUCCUCCCUGUCCCUCACCACUUUCUCCUCUCUCUGUCCCCACUUCCUGCCAUCUCUUCCCUGUUCUGAGGACACUGAUCCUUACCAGACAUAGAGGGCUGUCCUUGGAUUCAAGCUCUGCCCCUACCUGGAUGUUUCUGGACCCUUCUGAGCUGAGGCUCCCCCAGCUGAAGAAUGGGAAUGACAGUCACGGCACUUAUGUCACAGAGCAGAAUUGAAUUUGUUCUCAGACCGGAAGUAUAAUAGUGCCUGAUUUCAAUUCAACCAAAGUACCAGCCUCCAGGAUCAUCAAUUUACUCAGCAUGUUUCUACAGGUCCGGCCUCAGACAGUAAUGACCGUAGGUGGCGGUGCUCGGUGUAACCCCUAUCAAACCAGCUCCCAUACCUCAUUUUGUCAGCUUGACAAUCUGUAAGGCUUCUUGGGUCCUGUUACGGGGUCAGUUGUGUCUCCUCCAAACCAUAUACUGAAACCCUAACCCCCGGUAUCUCAGAAUGCAACCGUAUUUAGAAGCAGGGUCGUUACAAGUUGCAGAUGUAAGUAAGAUGGGCCCAUACUGGAUUAGGAUGAGUCCCUCAAUGAGUAUGACUGCCGUCCUUGUACAAAGAGCAGAAGAGACACGGUCACGCAGUGGGACGAGGCCACGUGAAGCUAUGGGCUGGCGCGAGGCACCUACAAGCCAGACGACGGGGAGGACUGCCUGCCGGCCACCAGAAGCUGGGAGAGGCAGAAAGGAUUCCCCUACAGGUGUCAAAGUAGAGCUGUGCCCACACCUUAAUUUUGGACUUCCAUCCUCCAGGACUGUGAGACCAGACAUUUCUGUGGCUCUCAGUCAUCCGGUUUGGGCAUCCAGAGGACGCUGCUGCAGGCUCACUUUGGGCAACUACUUGCCCCCUUGGUCAGAAAGGAGCGAGCCCUCCCACUGCGGCCACUGCUGACAUUUGUAACCCCAAGUGCCUCCUCACCCAUCCCAUCUAUGUGUCACCCCAGCCCCUCCUUUAGAACGUGGCUCAAAUGCCACCACUAGAGAGAGAUGCUCUUCUCAAUCCUGCAAGAGAACAUGGAGGAGAAACAGACGAUGAAAUCAGAUGCUGCCGCCGCCCCCCACCCCCACGGCCCUUGUUUCCUAUUUAGCAUAAUUCAAGUGGGCGAAAAGUAGCCUCUGACACUUUUAUCAGUCUUGUGCCAGGGGUGGGGACGGGAGGACAAUAACUUACAGAAUGCUUUCAUUUCAGGUCAGAGGUUGAUUUUCAGGAGGCCAGGUGUUAACAUUAAGUUGGAAUACAAAAAGAGAAUUCCAUUGUUGGGAGAGGUUAUGGAGAGGACACAACCUCUGGUAGACUGAGGGCUGGCCCGAGGCUCUUUUCCCCUCCACCUGCCCCGCCCCCCCAAGCACCUUCAAGGAU